ensembl:snRNA U6 U6 spliceosomal RNA
GUGCUCACUUUGGCAGUACAUACACUAAAACUAGAGCAAUGGAAGAUUAGCAUGGCUCCUGGGCAAGGCGGACACGCAAAUUGGUGGAGCAUUCCAUAUUUUA